CAGAAAGGGACCUCAGGGAUUCUUACAGAUUCAGCUUGUUGCCUACCGGCUCUUCGUAGCUGCCUGCAAGAAUUUUUCUUUGUCGAUCUGGGAUUCUAAACUUCUGAGCUUGAAGCUGUAACAACGGUCCUUGGGGACCAAGGGGGGGGGGGAGAGAAGGAAAACCACCACCACAACCAGCCCCAUCAUUGUGGCCCCACUUACAUUAAGGUCUUGGAUUUCCUCAAAGAGGGGCGGGAAACGGGAACCCAGACAUCUAGGUGUCUUGUAUAGAAGGUAAUAAAACUGGCCUGGCGGAUUGAAGAUGGAGAACCUCGGGGACUAUUUAGAGGUAUCCAUCAUAUAAAUGAGGAGGCGGAGGAAGUCUGGAUGAUAGUAACCCCAUAUUAAAAAAUUCUACCUUGUCAACAAGGAAAGCGCUACAUGGUGGAAAUCCACCUACUUUUGUAAAACUGUGAAACCAGAUGUCUCGGAGCAAUAACUGUUGUACAAGAACAAGGCGGAGGGGAAGAGAGAGAAAGGGGAAUGAGAUGGCUCAUAUAUAUAUAUAUAAACUUCCCAGGAACGUUCUUGCGCUCUGCAGUGAUGGUUUCGAUUAAAACACCUUCCUCCAAAUAUUGUUCAUAUUAAUGGGGUGGCCAGCUGCAGGGUUGUGUUUGAAGAACACUUACGCAUUUUUAGCAAGCAACAUCUGGCGAAUAAUCUCAGGAUCCAGAUGGUGGUCAGAGGCCUAUCACGGCACCCCGUUUUUCUUCUCCUACCAAUGCCCCAAAAGAGAGAGAGGGAGUUGGAAUGGGGGGGGGAGAGAAAACAAGGAUUAUGAUUGCUGAAAUUUUGCCCAAACUGAAACCUUCUCUUCCAUCAAUUGGUCCAAUCGUCUUUUAAAGGACUCUUCAAAUAGUCUUCAAAUAUCCAUGGAAGAUGGAGAAAACUUGUUUUCUGCUGCUCCAGAGAGGAGAACCCAAAACAAUGGAUUCAAAUGACAAGAAAAGAGAUUCUGAACAAACAUUAGGAAGAACUUUCUGAUCGUAAGAGCAGUUCAACAGUGGAACAGACUUCAAAGGCAGUGGAUCCCCCUUCACAGAAGGUUCUUAAGCGGCAAUUGGACUGCCAUCUGUCAUGUAUGAUUUAGUUGAGAUUUCUGCAUUGCUACAGUUGGAUGGUUUCCCUUCCAACUGUACAAUUCUAUGAAGCCAUCCAAAUUAGAGGCCAUCACUGCCUCCUACAGAAGCAGGUUCCAUAGUUUAACUAAGCCUGGUUGAAGGCAUGAGAGUGGUGGGAUUGCUGUGUGUGUUAUGAAGAUGAAUGAACAGUUGUGGGGGAGAGAGUUCGGCACUUUUCCCAGCUCCCUGAUUUCUCUCUCUCUCUCUCUCUCUCUCUCUCCUGCCAGUAGAUUCUUGUUGCACUCUGCAUUCCCAACAACGGGGAAACAAGUGCUACAGGAAGGUGUUUGCCAAGGCAAAGUUUUUACUCCUUCCCCCUUAUUCGCUGAUGCAGGUGGUGCAAAAUUGCCGAUACAAGAAACUGCUGCUGUUGGACCGACCACGUGCCAAUUUGAUCUCUGCAGCCAGCAACUGAGGAGUUAAAAAAAACAACCCCUGCCCGCCUGGCACACUGAAGACCCCAGAGAGCGGUUCACAGACAACAAAAGAAAACGGCUGUUGAGGACCUGGGGUGGAACGGCGUUGCAUUAGGAAACACGCCUAGGCAUGCUAGCUCAUGUUAAAUUAGGUGUAAAAUUGACAUUCACAAUCUGCCCUUUUGCUGCACAUGUCAUCGGGAG